rnacentral:rRNA from 1 species
CAGUAGCCGCGGUAAUACGUAGGUGGCAAGCGUUGUCCGGAAUUAUUGGGCGUAAAGGGCUCGCAGGCGGUUUCUUAAGUCUGAUGUGAAAGCCCCCGGCUCAACCGGGGAGGGUCAUUGGAAACUGGGAAACUUGAGUGCAGAAGAGGAGAGUGGAAUUCCACGUGUAGCGGUGAAAUGCGUAGAGAUGUGGAGGAACACCAGUGGCGAAGGCGACUCUAUGGUCUGUAACUGACGCUGAGGAGCGAAAGCGUGGGGAGCAAACAGGAUUAGAUACCCGCGUAGUCCCUGUCUCUUAUAC